AAUUCUCAACUUCAUUUGCUUUUGUGAAUGAAGCUUGGACUUGGAGGUAUUGCUGGCCGUACGGUCGGCUCCUCUUGAAUUUAUUAGCUCGAGCCUUUGUGGAUCAGCUUCGGUGUGAUAAUUGUCUACGCCGUUCUGUGAAGCAUAACUAUGGGACUCGGCUUCCAAUAGUCCUUCACUGGACAAUAUCUUUGAC
rnacentral:misc_RNA from 1 species